AUUGAACGCUGGCGGAAUGCUUUACACAUGCAAGUCGAACGGUAACAGGUCUUCGGAUGCUGACGAGUGGCGAACGGGUGAGUAAUAUAUCGGAACGUGCCCAGUCGUGGGGGAUAACGUAGCGAAAGUUACGCUAAUACCGCAUACGAUCUACGGAUGAAAGCGGGGGAUCGCAAGACCUCGCGCGAUUGGAGCGGCCGAUAUCAGAUUAGGUAGUUGGUGGGGUAAAGGCUCACCAAGCCAACGAUCUGUAGCUGGUUUGAGAGAACGACCAGCCACACUGGGACUGAGACACGGCCCAGACUCCUACGGGAGGCAGCAGUGGGGAAUUUUGGACAAUGGGCGAAAGCCUGAUCCAGCCAUGCCGCGUGAGUGAAGAAGGCC
rnacentral:rRNA from 1 species